GGAGGCGCUCAAAGGUUCUCUCAGUACGGUCGGAAAUCGUACGUAGAGUGUAAAGGCAAAAGAGAGCUUGAUUGCAAGACAUACAGGUCGAGCAAGGAUGAAAAUCGGACUUAGUGAUCCGGUGGUUCUGCGUGGAAGGGCCAUCGCUCAACGGAUAAAAGCUACCCUGGGGAUAACAGGCUUAUCUCCCCCAAGAGUCCACAUCGACGGGGAGGUUUGGCACCUCGAUGUCGGCUCAUCACAUCCUGGGGCUGUAGUAGGUCCCAAGGGUUGGGCUGUUCGCCCAUUAAAGUGGUACGCGAGCUGGGUUCAGAACGUCGUGAGACAGUUCGGUCCCUAUCCGUCGCAGGCGUAGGAAAUUUGAGAAGACCUGUCCUUAGUACGAGAGGACCGGGAUGGACGUACCUCUGGUGUACCAGUUGUUCUGCCAAGGGCAUGGCUGGGUAGCUAUGUACGGAAUGGAUAAGCGCUGAAAGCAUCUAAGCGCGAAGCCAACUUCAAGAUAAGAUUUCCCACCGCAAGGGUAAGACCCCAGAAAGACUAUCUGGUUGAUAGGUCGAAGGUGUAAGUGCAGCAAUGUAUUUAGCUUAUCGAUACUAAUAGGUCGAGGACUUGACCAAUAUU
rnacentral:rRNA from 1 species